ensembl:lncRNA
CGGCACUUCAACAACGGACCCUCGUGAAUGCGCUGUUUACUGUCAUCCAGGCAGCUGAACUACCAUGCUAGUUUUGUUGCUUGUCAUCAGCCCCAAAUCAAGCAUAUGAUGGCCUUCAUUGAACAGGAAGCCAAUGAGAAAGCAGAAGAAAUUGACGCAAAGACAGAAGUGGAGUUUAACAUUGAAGAGGGCUGUCUGGACCUCAAGAUCAUGGCGUAUUAUGAGAAAAAAUAAAAUUCAGAUCGACCAGCAGAAGAACAUGAACUAAGAUGUACAACGAUAAUGGGAAGAUCAAGGUAGCCAACACCCUGGAGAGCAGGCCUGACCUCUUGCCUCAGCAGAUGAUGCCUGAGGUUAGAGUGGCUCUUUUCUGUGCCAACCUGAACCGUACAUUUUUAGGAUUAACAGGUGAUGCUGAGGGAGACAAAGGUUAAGGUAUCAUUGGAUGUGCUACUGGGAACAAGCCUCUUAUUUGGACUGGAUAUGUGGAAAGUUGAGCAGAGCCUAAGAACACCCGGUCUCUGUGACGCCCAGAAUGUUUGUUUUCUGAGGGAAUGGUUAAACAUGGAAAAGAACACCAUGGUCAUCUUCAUCUUCCCAACUUCAAGCACUUAUCUCUAGGAUCUUCCAAAGUAAGAAACUUGUUUAUGGGACACGAUGUGAGGGAGAAUGUGUGUUAAGGGUAGUGUUUUAUCCUACCUCCUCAGUUUACCACUGCUCCCUUCCCAGCACUGUGGGUUAUCUGAUUGUAAUCUACACUGCAAAACAUAUAUGAAUGCAACAAUUCCCAAAAUUUGACUUAGGUACAGUUCAUAUAAGGAAAUCAGUCAAUUGAAAUAAAUUCAUUAGGCACUAAUUUAUAGAUUUCACAUGACCGGACAUGGGUGCAGCCAUGGGUAGGCCUUGGAGGGCAUAGACCCAACCAAUUGGCAGCCAGGCCCACCCACUAGGGAGCCAGGCCCAGCCAAUCAUAAUGAGUUUUUCCCCACAAAAUGGCUUUAAUACAGACACAUACUCCUCAGCCCCCCAGCCGAUCCCGCAGGUGAAUAAGCUGGAUGUGGAGGUCCUGAGCUGACGUGGUUACAGGUGAUCUGCAGUAGUGAGGCCGGUUGGACGCACUGCCAAAUUCUCUAAAACUACAUUGUAUGCAGCUAAUGGUAGAAAAAUUAACAAAUUCUCUGGCAACAGCUCUGGUGGAUAUUCCUCCAGUCAGCAUGCUAAUUGUACGUUCCUGAAAAACUUGAAACAUCUAUGGCAUUGUGUUGUGUGACAACUGCACAUUUUAAAGUGGCCUUUUACUGUCCCCAGCACAAGGUGCACCUGUGUAAUCAUGUUUAAUCAGCUUCUUGACAUGCCACAACUGUCAGGUGGAAGGAUUAGCUUGAGCAAAUGAAAAAUGCUCACUAAUAGGGAUAAACAAAUUUGUGCACAAUUUGAGAGAAAUAAAAACUUUGUGCGAAUGGAGAAUUUGUGGGAUUUUUUAUUUCAGCUCAUGAAACAUGGGACCAACACUUGAACAUGUUGCGUUUAUAUUUUUGUUUCGUGUAGAUUGUCCCUUUACUUUCCCUUGCGGAACAAUCAAGGUAUUUUUUGUUUACCGUAAGGUGUCCAAACUCCUAAAAGGGUGGCUGCUGCUGUAUUCCGUUUGAUGGUUGUGUGUGUGUGUGUGUGUGUGUGUAUUUAGUGUUGAAUGGGAAUAUAGUGGAUUAGAGAAUGGAUGUCUUUUAUUGUUACUUACCAAUGUGAUUAAUAAUAAAUACAUACAGAAAUGUGAAUAUUCAGUAUUUUCAUUUGCA